CUUUCUCCGCCGGCGACCGGCGCACGGGUGAGUAACACGUAUGCAACCUGCCCCAGUCAGGGGGACAACCCGCCGAAAGGCGGGCUAAACCCGCGUACAUGCCACCGGGGCAUCCCGGAGGCAGGAAAGGCUUCGGCCGGACAGGGAUGGGCAUGCGGCGCAUUAGGCAGUAGGCGGGGUAACGGCCCACCUAACCGACGAUGCGUAGGGGUUCUGAGAGGAAGGUCCCCCACACUGGUACUGAGACACGGACCAGACUCCUACGGGAGGCAGCAG
rnacentral:rRNA from 1 species